UGAAACAGGGACCACAGAUGUUAUAUUG
rnacentral:sRNA from 1 species